UGCAACUAUGGAGUAUGUCCUGCUUUGACCC
rnacentral:piRNA from 1 species